CCUUUAGUGGGGACAACAUAUGGAAACGUAUGCUAAUACCGAAUAUGAUCUACGGAUUAAAGGAGCCCUCUUCUUGAAAGGUUUCGCUAUAGGAUGAGCCCGCGUGAGAUUAGCUAGUUGGUAAGGUAAUGGCUUACCAAGGCGACGAUCUCUAGCUGGUUUGAGAGGAUGAUCAGCCACACUGGGACUGAGACACGGCCCAGACUCCUACGGGAGGCAGCAGUGGGGAAUAUUGCACAAUGAGCGAAAGCUUGAUGCAGCCAUACCGCGUGUGUGAAGAAGGCCCGAGGGUUGUAAAGCACUUUCAAUUGUGAGGAAGAUAGUAUAGUUAAUACCUGUAUUAUUUGACGUUAACUUUAGAAGAAGCACCGGCUAACUCUGUGCCAGCAGCCGCGGUAAUACAGAGGGUGCAAGCGUUAUUCGGAAUUACUGGGCGUAAAGCGCGCGUAGGCGGACUAUUAAGUCAGUUGUGAAAGCCCUGGGCUCAACCUGGGAACUGCAUCUGAUACUGGUAGUCUAGAGUUUAAGAGAGGGAAGUGGAAUUCCAGGUGUAGCAGUGAAAUGCGUAGAUAUCUGGAGGAACAUCAGUGGCGAAGGCGACUUCCUGGCUUAAAACUGACGCUGAGGUGCGAAAGCGUGGGUAGCGAACGGGAUUAGAUACCCCGGUAGUCCACGCCGUAAACGAUGUCAACUACCUGUUGGCCUUAU
rnacentral:rRNA from 1 species